rnacentral:tRNA from 1 species
UAUGUGUUGGAUUUAAGAUCUUGUAAAAUAGAUUUAUCUAUAAAUAGUAAAAUAAUUAU